UACACACCGCCCGUCACACCAUGGGAGUCAGUUGCUCUAGAAGCCGGUGCGUUAACCCUUUGGGGACUAGCCGUCUAAAGAGUGACUGGUGACUGGGGUGAAGUCGUAAACAAGGUACC
rnacentral:rRNA from 1 species